rnacentral:rRNA from 1 species
GACGAACGCUGGCGGCGUGCUUAACACAUGCAAGUCGAACGGAAAGGCCCUGCUUUUGUGGGGUGCUCGAGUGGCGAACGGGUGAGUAACACGUGAGUAACCUGCCCUUGACUUUGGGAUAACUUCAGGAAACUGGGGCUAAUACCGGAUAGGAGCUCCUGCUGCAUGGUGGGGGUUGGAAAGUUUCGGCGGUUGGGGAUGGACUCGCGGCUUAUCAGCUUGUUGGUGGGGUAGUGGCUUACCAAGGCUUUGACGGGUAGCCGGCCUGGGAGGGUGACCGGCGACAUUGGUCCUGAGGUACGGACCAGUCUCGUACGGGAGGCAGCGGUGGGAAAUAUUGCACAGUGGGCGGGAGCCUGAGACAGAGGCGUCGCGAGCGGAAUGCCGGCCUUCGGGUUAUAAACCGCUUUCGCCUGUAACGAAGCGGGAGUGACGGUAAUUGGUAAAAAAGCACCGGCUAACUACGUG